GAGAGAGUUGGGUGAAGGUAAGAGAUUGUUGCCCGUGCGGUGAGCGCUAGGACCUCGGAGGCGGGGUGCCCGCCGAUGCGGAGCCGCUCGGACCUGGUUCUCGAGUUGCGGCGCCGCCGCAAAAUCCACAACCGGCCGCAAGGGGAAAUUGAAAAAAAACCGAAGAGAAGAUUUAAAAACACCAGAAUGACAUAUGUGAACCCAAAAAGCAUAUGCAAUAUGCCUUAAUGCCUUAGUGGCUUUGACCUCCAUAAUCAUGAACAGCUUUGAGAAAUUGGUCAUGGUCCACAUCAACUCUAGCCUCCCAGCCUGCCUUGAUCCACUGCAAUUUGCCUACUGACGUAACAGGUCCACAGCAGAUACUAUUUCCCUAACCCUCUACUCAUCCCUGGAACAUCUGGACAACAUGUACACCUACGUCAGACUCCUACUCAUCGACUACAGCUCCGCCUUCAACACCAUAAUCCCAUCCAGACUGAUCUCAAAACUCUGUGACCUAGGCCUUGGCUCUGCCCUCUGCAACUGGUUCCUCAGCCUCCUGAACCACAGGCCACAGUCAGUGAAGAUAGACAACUGCACCUCCUCCAUGAUAACCCUCAACACUGGAGCCCCCUAAGGAUGUGUCCUCAUGCCCCUACAGUACUCCCACUACUGUAUUGCCAAAUUUCAAACAAACACCAUUUACAAGUUUGCUGACGACGUCACAGCGGUAGGACAGAUAUCAAACAAUGAGUCAGAGUACAGAAAAGAGAUAGAGGGCUUGAUGACUUGGUGCAAUGAUAACAACCUCUCUCUCAUGUCGGCGAAACAAAAGAACUGAUCAUUGACUUCAGGAAGAACGGAGGAGAACACGCCCCUAUCUAUAUCAACGGAAGUUGAGAGGGUUGAAAGUGUCAAGUUCCUAGGAGUGACGAUAACUGACAACCUGUCCUGGACUUCCCAUGAUGAGACGGUCAAGAAGGCACAACAAUGCCUCUUCUUCCUCAGGCAGCUCAGAAAAUUUGGCAUGUCCAUAAGGGCUCUCACCAAUUUCUACAGAUGCAGUAUUGAAAGCAUUCCACCCAGGUGCUUAACAGCCUGGUAUGGCAACUGCUCUGCCCAGGACCCUAAGGAACUACAGAAGGUUGUGUGCAUAGCCCAGACUACCAUGGAAGCCAACCUACCUUCCAUGGAUUCCAUUUAUACUUCUUGUUUCCACGGAAAGGCUGCCAACAUCAUCAAAGACCCCUCCCACUCCAGUAAUGUUCUCCUGCAACAUCUUCGGUCAGGCAGAAGAUAUAGAAGCUUGAACACAUGCACCAGCUGGUUCAAGAACUGCUUCUUCACUGCUGUUAUUAGACUGAUGAAUGGACUGUCUUAUGUCAAAUAAUUCUGACCUUGUUACUAUUGAUUUUGCUUUGCCUACCUUCUGUGCGGUGUAACCUGCAUGCCUCACUCUGUCUAAGCACCCAAUGAUCUGUAUGUCCUUGCUUGCUAUGACCUGCCUGUACUACUCACAAACAAAGCUUUUCACUAUACUUAGGUACACGUAAUUACAAUCAAAUCAAAUCAAAUUAAAUCAAUCCUAUGUCACUGUCUAUUUAUUGAGUGUUUCGCUUCACUAUGUAAUUGUUCAUUUGACUUUUCUUCAUAUAACAUAUUAAAAGUUAUAUUUCUUCAAA